GGGCAAGUAGUUCACUGGUAGAACGCUUCUCUGAUAAGGAAGAAGUAGAUGGUUCGAUUCCAUCCUUGCCCACCA
rnacentral:tRNA from 1 species